UACGGAGGAUGCAAGCGUUAUCCGGAAUGAUUGGGCGUAAAGCGUCCGCAGGUGGCUGUGUAAGUCUGCUGUUAAAGAGUGAGGCUCAACCUCAUAAGAGCAGUGGAAACUACACAGCUAGAGUGCGUUCGGGGCAGAGGGAAUUCCUGGUGUAGCGGUGAAAUGCGUAGAGAUCAGGAAGAACACCGGUGGCGAAGGCGGCAUCCUGGACCGGCAUUGACGCUGAGGAGCGAAAGCCAGGGGAGCAAACGGG
rnacentral:rRNA from 1 species